rnacentral:misc_RNA from 1 species
CAACCCUCAGGCUCCGCCUGGCGUUGGGGCCCUGCGCGCGCAGCCCCCGAAAGACAGCGGCGGGUGCGUCCCGGAAUCGAACGUAGUACUCUCCUCGUUCCGGUCCCGGGCGCCCUCUUGCCGGAAAACUCUCUCCACAA